CGGCCGCAUCACGUUGAAACACUGGUUCCCCUACGAUCACCGAAAUUAAGCAACGUCAAAUUUGGUCAGUGUCUAGAUGGGUGACCGCUUGGGAAUACUAGGUGCUGUAA